GCUUGUGAUCAAGGGCCUGGUCUCAAGACACGGUCAGAGAUCAGAGGCCACACCAUCAUAGCAGUGGAGCAGGACCAGCUGGCACAGGGUCCUUCUGUGCAAACUGCUGCAUCACCAGGCUGUGUGAACGGACUCAAUUGUCAGAACUCACAAAAUAUCAGUAUCAGCACCGAAACCUCACAGGAAAAAUGCUCCAUGUUUAGCUCCACGAACUUCAGACUUAAACAGCAUCACUGGCUCCUGACCAGGAUUCCAGCUCCACGAACCUCAAACUAGAACACCAGCCUGGCUUGUCCGCAGGUCUCCAGCUCCAAAACCUAAGACAUCAGUGGCAGUACCUACUCCUCCCGGGGGCUCCAGCUCCGAGACCCUCAGACUUGAACCGCAGCACCAGCUCUUCCCCGGAUCUCCAGCUCCACCACCCUCAGACUUAAACAACAGCAGCACCAGCUCAUCUGUCUCCAGCUGCUGGACCCUCAAACUAGAACAUCAGCUCCUCCCCGAGUCUCCAGCUGCAUGACUCUCAAUUAGAACAACAUCAGCUCCUCCCCGGGUCUCCAGCUCCACAACCUGCAAACUAGAACAGCAGCAGCUCCUCCCUGGAUUUCCAGCUCCAACAACCUCAAACUAGAACAACAUCAGCUCCUCCCUGGGUCUCCAGCUCCACAACCCGCAAACUAGAACAUCAGCAGCUCCUCCCUGGAUUUCCAGCUCCAACAACCUCAAACUAGAACAAAAUCAGUUCCUCCCUGUGUCUCCAGCUCCAUGACCUUUUGAUCAGAAAAACAUGAACCACUACCUGAGUCUCCAGAUGCAGGAGCCUCAAACUAGAACAACAUCAACUCCUGUCCGGGUCUCCAGCUGCAUAACCCAUAAACUAGAACAUCAGCUCCUCCCAGGUCUCCAGCUGCACGACCCUCAAACUAGAACAUCAGCUCCUCCCCGGGUCUCCAGCUGCACGACCCGCAAACUAGAACAACAUCAGCUCCUCCCAGGUCUCCAGCUGCACAACCUGCAAACUAGAACAACAUCAGCUCCUCCCCAGGUCUCCAGCUGCACGACCCGCAAACUAGAACAUCAGCUCCUCCCAGGUCUCCAGCUGCACGACCCUCAAACUAGAACAUCAGCUCCUCCCAGGUCUCCAGCUGCACAACCCGCAAACUAGAACAACAUCAGCUCCUCCCCAGGUCUCCAGCUGCACGACCCUCAAACUAGAACAUCAGCUCCUCCCAGGUCUCCAGCUGCACGACCCUCAAACUAGAACAUCAGCUCCUCUCCAGGUCUCCAGCAGUAGGGCCCUCAGACUAGAACAUCAGUUCCUCUCUGAGUCUUCAGCUGCAUGACCCUCAAUCUAGAACAUCAACUGCUCUCCAGGUCUCCAGCUGUAGCGCCCUCAAAAUAGAACAUCAGCUUCUUCCCGAGUCUUCAGCUGCACGACCCUCAAACUAGAACAUCAGCUCCUCUCCCGGUCUGCAGCUACAAGACUCUCAAACUAGAACAUCAGCUCCUCUCCGGGUCUGCAGCUGCAAGACCCUCAAACUAGAACAUCAGCUCCUCUCUGGGUUUUCACCUCCAUGACCCUCAAUCUAGAACAUCAGCACCUCCCUGAGUCUCCAGUUGAAAGACCCUCAAAGUGAACAUCAGCUCCUCCCUGAGUCUUCAGCUGCAUGACACUCCAUCUAGAACAUCAGCUCCUGUCCGGUUCUCCAGCUGUACGAACCUCAAACUAGAACUUCAGCUCCUCCCUGAGUCUUCUGCUGCACGACCCUCAAAUUAGAACCUCAGCUCCUCCCUGAGACUUCAGCUGCACGACCCUCAAACUAGAACAUCAGCUCCUCUCCGGGUCUGCAGCUGCAAGACCCUCAAACUAGAACAUCGGCUUCUCUCCAGGUCUCCAGUUCCGUGACCCUAAAUCUAGAACAUCAGCUCCUCCCUGAGUCUCCAACUGAAAGACCCUCAAUGUGAACAACAUCAGCUCCUCCCCAAGUCUUCAGUUGCACAACCCUCAAACUAGAACAUCAGCUCCUCCCCGAGUCUGUAGUUGCAAGACUCUCAAAUUACAGCUCCUCCCUGAGUCUUCAGCUGCACGACCCUCAAACUAGAACAUCAACUCCUCUCCAGAUCUCCAGUUCCAUGACACUCAAUCUAGAACAUCAGCUCCUCCGAGUCUCCAACUGAAAGACCCUCAACGCAAACAACAUCAGCUCUUCCCCAAGUCUUCAGCUGCACGACCCUCAAACUAAAACAUCAGCUCCUCUCCACGUCUCCAGCUGUAGGGCCCUCAAACUAGAACAUCAGCUCCUCUCCUAGUCUUCAGCUGCACGACCCUCAAUCUAGAACAUCAACGCCUCUCCUGGUCUCCAGCUGUAGGGCCCUGAAACUAGAAUAUCAGCUCCUCCCCGAGUCUUCAGCUGUACGACCCUCAAACUAGAACAUCAGCUCCUCUCCGAAUCUCCUGCUGUAGGGCCCUCAAUCUAGAACAUCAGCUCCUCCCCGAGACUUCAGCUGUACGACCCUCAAACUAGAACAUCAGCUCCUCCCCGAGUCUUCAGCUGUAUGACCCUCAAUCUAGAACAUCAGCUCCUCUACAGGUUUGCAGCUGCAAGACACUCAAACUAGAACAUCAGCUCCUCCCUGAGUCUUCAGCUGUAUGACCCUCAAUCUAGAACAUCAGCUCCUCUACAGGUUUGCAGCUGCAAAACACUCAAAACUAGAACAUCAGCUCCUCCCUGAGUCUUCAGCUGUAUGACCCUCAAUCUAGAACAUCAGCUCCUGAGUAUCCAGCUGAAAGACCCUCAAUGCGAACAACAUCAGCUCCUCCCCGAGUCUUCAGCUGCAAGACCCUCAAACUAGAACAUCAGCUCCUCCCCGAGUCUUCAGCUGCACAAUGCUCAAUCUAUAACAUCAGCUCCUGUCCGGUUCUCCAGCUGCAAGACCCUCAAUCUAGAACAUCAGCUCCUCUCCGGAUCUCCAGCUGUAGGGCCCUCAGACUAGAACCUCAGCCCCUCCCCAAGUCUUCAGCUGCACAACCAUCAAACUAGAACCUCAGCUCCUCCCUGUGUCUCCAGCUCCACAACCCUCAAACUAGAACCACACCAGUUACUCCCUGGGUCUCCAGCUCUACGACCCUCCAAUUAAAAUAACAUCAGUUCCUCACGGAUCUCUAUCUGUAUGACCCUCAAACUAGAACAUCUCUCCCACCUGGAUCUCCAGCUCCACGACCCUCACAGAACAGCCAAACCGACUCCUUCAUUGUCUUCAGCUCCACAACCUAAGACAUCAGUGGCAGCACCAGCUCUUCCCUGGACCUCCAGCUCAAUGACUCUCAUAGACUUAAAAGGCAGCACCGGCUCCUCCCCAAGGCUCCAUCUCCACCCCUUCAGAUUUGAACAGCAAUAGCACCAGCUCCUCUCCAGGUCUUCAGCCCCAUGACCCUCCCUGAACAAUCCCUUCUUAUGAAAUUCAGCAGCCAAGAAAACUGCAGCAGAAGUAAAUGAAUAAAUGUUUUGUUUUCAAAUCGAUGUCUCUUUUACGUUCAUGAGUUAACUUUUCUACUUUCCAUUAGCCUUGCAAUCUACUUAUGUCCAAUGUGAAACAGAAACACACCAUUUGAAAUCACGUUUAAAAACUUAGUAGUAUUUUUAAAUAAAAUCAUCACACAGCUGUAAACGCAAUCUUAUUUCUCUCUGCCUGUGCAGAUGUUAUGAAAAUUCGAACUAUGAAUUUACUUUGUUGAGAUUCCCAGAAUACACAUUAAUCCCAAAUGUUA